GUCAAAUUUAAAAAUUUAUGCUGAAAUCAUGUCUCCUAAGUUCUUACAUUAGUGGUCUCCUAAAUACUGUACUCUCCUUCUUGUGGGGUGUUUUGGAAAGGCUUAAUUCUUAGAGCCUAAUUCUUAAUUCUUCAAAAGAGUUGGAAAUGUUCAAUUCUGUUGAGCGAUUCUAUAUAUAUGUUUGUGUACAAGUUCACUCAUUCACAGCCGUCAAAAGACAUUUGCUGACAAAAUUGUUUGUCUAAUCUAAUCUAAUCUAAACUAAGGUUUUGGUGGUAGAAUCUCACUUGCAUAAACAUACACAAUCCAUCAAACAGAAUACCAGCACAUGUAGUGUC